UACGAAGGGGGGCUAGCGUUGCUCGGGAAUCACUGGGCGUAAAGGGUGCGUAGGCGGGUCUUUAAGUCAGGGGUGAAAUCCUGGAGCUCAACUCCAGAACUGCCUUUGAUACUGAAGAUCUUGAGUUCGGGAGAGGUGAGUGGAACUGCGAGUGUAGAGGUGAAAUUCGUAGAUAUUCGCAAGAACACCAGUGGCGAAGGCGGCUCACUGGCCCGAUACUGACGCUGAGGCACGAAAGCGUGGGGAGCAAACAGG
rnacentral:rRNA from 1 species